rnacentral:rRNA from 1 species
UACGAAGGGGGCUAGCGUUGCUCGGAAUCACUGGGCGUAAAGCGCACGUAGGCGGAUUGUUAAGUCAGGGGUGAAAGCCUGGAGCUCAACUCCAGAACUGCCCUUGAUACUGGCAAUCUCGAGUCCGGAAGAGGUAAGUGGAACUCCGAGUGUAGAGGUGAAAUUCGUAGAUAUUCGGAAGAACACCAGUGGCGAAGGCGGCUUACUGGUCCGGUACUGACGCUGAGGUGCGAAAGCUAGGGGAGCAAACAGG